rnacentral:rRNA from 1 species
UACGUAGGGUGCAAGCGUUAAUCGGAAUUACUGGGCGUAAAGCGUGCGCAGGCGGUUUCUUAAGUCAGACGUGAAAUCCCUCGGCUUAACCGGGGAACUGCGUCUGAUACUGGAUGGCUUGAGUUCGGGAGAGGGAUGCGGAAUUCCAGGUGUAGCGGUGAAAUGCGUAGAUAUCUGGAGGAACACCGGUGGCGAAGGCGGCAUCCUGGACCGACACUGACGCUGAGGAGCGAAAGCCAGGGGAGCAAACGGG